rnacentral:rRNA from 1 species
UACGAAGGGUGCAAGCGUUACUCGGAAUUACUGGGCGUAAAGCGUGCGUAGGUGGUUGUUUAAGUCUGCCGUGAAAGCCCUGGGCUCAACCUGGGAAUUGCGAUGGAAACUGGGCGACUAGGGUGUGGCAGAGGGUAGUGGAAUUCCUGGUGUAGCAGUGAAAUGCGUAGAGAUCAGGAGGAACAUCCGUGGCGAAGGCGACUGCCUGGGCCAACACUGACACUGAGGCACGAAAGCGUGGGGAGCAAACAGG